CCUACGGGUGGCAGCAGUGGGGGAUAUUGCACAAUGGGGGAAACCCUGAUGCAGCGACGCCGCGUGUGGGAAGACGGUCCUCUGGAUUGUAAACCACUGUCACCAGGGACGAAGAUGACGGUACCUGGGGAGGAAGCUCCGGCAAAGUACGUGCCAGCAGCCGCGGAAAUACGUAGGGAGGGAGCGUUGUCCGGAAUUACUGGGUGAAAAGGGAGCGUAGGCGGGGAUGAAGGUUGGGUGGAAAGACUACCGGGUAAACGGGGAGUCGCAGUCGAAACUGCAGGUCUUGAGUGAAGUAGAGGAUGGCGGAAUUCAUGGUGUAGCGGUGAUAUGCGUAGAUAUUAUGAAGAACACCAGUCGCGAAGGCGAGCUGCUGGGGUGCAACUGACGCUGAGGCUCGAAAGUGUGGGGAUCAAACAGGAUUAGAUACCCUGGUAGUC
rnacentral:rRNA from 1 species